rnacentral:rRNA from 1 species
GGACGACGCUGGCGGCGUGCCUAAUACAUGCAAGUCGAGCGCGGGAAGCGGACAAUCACCCUUCGGGGUGUGCGUCCGUGGAACGAGCGGCGGAUGGGUGAGUAUCACGUGGGCAACCUGCCUGUAAGAUUGGGAUAACUCGCGGAAACGUGAGCUAAUACCGAAUGAAGUCUUUCACCGCCUGGUGAAAGGAUGAAAGAUGGCUCUUGAGCUAUCACUUACAGAUGGGCCCGCGGCGCAUUAGCUAGUUGGUGGGGUAAAGGCCUACCAAGGCGACGAUGCGUAGCCGACCUGAGAGGGUGAUCGGCCACACUGGGACUGAGACACGGCCCAGACUCCUACGGGAGGCAGCAGUGGGGAAUAUUGCGCAAUGGGGGGAAACCCUGACGCAGCAACGCCGCGUGAAGGAUGAAGGUUUUCGGAUUGUAAACUUCUUUGAUUGGGGACGAUAAUGACGGUACCCAAAAAACAAGCCACGGCUAACUACGUGCCAGCAGCUGC